rnacentral:rRNA from 1 species
UACAGAGGUCCCAAGCGUUGUUCGGAUUCACUGGGCGUAAAGGGUGCGUAGGUGGUGGGGUAAGUCGGAUGUGAAAGCUCGGAGCUCAACUCCGAAAUGGCAUUGGAAACUACCCUGCUAGAGGAUUGGAGGGGGGACUGGAAUACUUGGUGUAGCAGUGAAAUGCGUAGAUAUCGAGUGGAACACCAGUGGCGAAGGCGAGUCCCUGGACAAUACCUGACACUGAGGCACGAAAGCUAGGGGAGCAAACAGG